rnacentral:lncRNA from 1 species
CAGACUGAACAACUGCAUUUUCUGAACCUUGUGCAGAAAAGGAGAGCAGAGGCAGCAAGGGGCACAUGAAAGGCCUGCUGUCUUGUGGGUGAACAGUGAGAACCAACAAGCUAAGGCCCAGGAUACAACCCACUAAUCGAUUCUGUGCCUCAUUACAUGUUCUAAUUCAGACCUCUGAGAAGCCCCAGUUUCAGCUGAGGGCUUUCCAAACCACGUGGAUUUCAGCUGAACCAUUGCUCCUGCUGCCUACAAUAAACUGAAGACCCAUCCGUUGCUGAUAGCAUUUCUUUGCAGCCUACCUGGAAGCCCCAUCUCCCUCCGUCUCCGAUAUUACACCAUAGCCCAACACAAAACUAUCUUUCCAUGCUGAGUGACAGGAUUUGGACAGCCCACUAGAAUAACAACCUUACACCCUCUUGUCUUGACCCAUCUUUCCACUUGUGUAGUUCAGGUCGAGUAUGUACAGUGCUACACACACAGCCACGCAUGUAUAUUAAGGAAGAACGAAUAUCAAGCCCAGGG